CCGUAGUCCUGGCGACUGUUACCCAUCAACAACAACUACUCCUCUCCUCCUCCUCCUCCUCUUCCUCCUCCUCCUCCCCACCACCACCAUCUCCAUCACCCACCAACAACACCACAAUAAUCCACAGCCAAGUCCCAGCACAGUUGAAGAAUAUAGCACAGUUGCAUCAGUAAUGAUGGCUCACUCAUCUGGGAGCAUCUCUCUGGGUGAGAAUAAGUAAUAUUUUAAAAGUCCUCCAAGUAAUUCUGAUAUGGCAUACUUCCUUUCCAUUAUAAGUAACAAAUUUAAGUCAUAGAUUCCUAGAAUUUUGUGAUUAGUGUUAUUAGGAGAUUAUAAUGAUUAAAAUGGAAUCUACUCUUGUGAGAUUAUUUUGUUUCUUGAACAAGUUAUAGUGAACUUUAUGUAUAACCUUACCAGAGUCUUGAAUAUUAUAAGGUACCAGAGUCUUGAAUAUUGUAAAGCACAGUAGUAUUAACUCUGUGCCCAUUGUUGUGUCAAACAGACCUCUAGAAUUUUCUCAGCUUGCAAAACAAACGUUACAUCCAUGAAGAAUCAUUAUCCUUUUCCCCUUCCCUUCAGUCUCUAGUAACCACCAUUUUCCUUUCUUUUUCCAAGGCAUUUACUAUUUUGGAUAACUCAUAAAAGUGGAAUCAUGUAGUAUUUGUGUUUUUGUGACUGUCUUACUUCACUUAGCAUAAUGUCCUCAAGGUUUAUCCAUAUUGUUGCAUGUGACAGGACAGCCUUCUUUUUAAAGGCAGAAUAAUGUUCCAUUGUACAGGCAUACCUUGUUUUUAUUGCACUUCACUUUAUUGUGCUUCUCAAGUAUUGCAUUUGUUUUUUCUUUACAAAUUGAAGGUUUGUGGCAACCCUGAAUCAAGCAAGUUAUUGGUGCCAUUUUUUCAACAGUAUUUGCUCACUAUUUGUGUCACAGUUUGGUUAUUCUCCCAAUAUUUCAAGGUUUUUAAUUAUUAUUGUGUUUGUUAUGGUCACUUGUUCUUACUGCAAAAGGUUAUGACUUGCUGAAUGCUCAGAUGGUGAUUAGCUCUUUUAAGCAAUAAAGCACUUUUUAAUUAGGGUAUAUGCAUUUUUAGACAUAGUGCUAUCACACACUUAAUGGACUACAAAAAUAUAGUGUAAAUGUAACUUUUAUAUGCAUUAGAAAACCAAAAAUUAAUUUGACUCACUUUAUUACAGUGGUCUGAAACUAAACCCAGACUAUUUCCCAGUUCUUUAUUUAUAUAUUGACAGACAUUUAUUGCUUUCACUUCUUGGCUAUUAUGAAUAAUGCUGCCUUGAAGAUGGGUGUAAAAUAUCUUUUCAAGAUCCUGUUUUCAGUUCUUUUGGAUAUAUACUUAGAGGUGGGAUUGCUGGAUUAUUUGGUAAUUCUGUUUUUAAUUUUUAAGGAAUCUCCAUACUAUUUUUUUCAUACUAUUUUCGUAAGAAUUGCACUAUUUUACAUUUCCCCAACAGUGCACAAGGGUUCCAAUUUCUCUACAUCUUCAUCAACACUUGUUUAUUUUCUGUUUUUUGUUUUUGUUUUGAUUUUUUUUUUUUUUUUUUUGGUUUCAUAGUGGCCACCCUAACCAUUCCUAGGUUUUUAACUCCCUGCUAACAUGUUAGGUCUUUAUUUCUAAAUCGCUUUCUAAAGAAACAGAAUAGUUAUUUAGGAGAUUUCCUAUAAUUAUUACAAAUCUUUACACUGUUCCCUGACUUCAAAUACUAGAAUACCAACGGGAGCUAGUGUCCUAAACAUUUCAGAUUGAGCGUAUAAAACUGGACAUUUGAAUUCCUUCAUACUUUAACAUAAAUGGUCCUCUUUGCUUUUGGAAUUCAUAUGAUAUAUUACACAUCAUCACCUUAUAAGGCAGCAAUAAGAUGCCUUUGUCUCUACUUCCAGGUUCUAAAGCUUGCUUUAAUGGGAUAAUUACAAUGGUCCUGUAAUAUAUAAUGUAUAUAUAUCAUUAUAAUGUAUAUAUAACAUUAUAACAUAUAUAACAUUAUAACAUUACUGGAUGUCUUGUCUUCUCUUGUUUCCAAGCAGUCCAUAAUUGUCUCAUCUUUGGAUGCAUUACUUCAGUGUAUACUUAAUAUGCUGCUUUGAAUCUCUCUCAACAUAGUUUUCUUCAUUUCACUUUCCCUGCUGCAUCUGCUUGUGAAUCUUUCUGUCAUCCAUUUUCAACAGAUUUCUUGCCUAAGUGGGGUUGUGUUGCCAACAAAUUUGCUUCAGUGCUGGUAGAGCAGCUCUCUUCCAGUGCCCUAUAUUUGAUAAUCUAGCCAUUUAAUAGUACAGCUUAUGGAUAUUGAAGACAGCAGAUAUAAUACUUAUAAUCCAUCUAGUCCUCACAGUUGACCAAGUUUGGGCAUUUUCUCUUCUGCAUACAUUUAGAUUGAUUGGGAACCCAGUGUUUUUUCUAACUUGUCUUUGACACUUCCAAAGAUCAUACUGCAAUGUUGUAAGGCUGGGGGGAAAAAAAAACUUUGAAUUUGGGGGGCAGAUUUAUAUUUAAGUCUUGACUCGGCUGCUUGACUACAUUUAGAGAUGUUUCUUAUCCUCUCUGAGUCAGAAAUCUCACAUGUAAAUUGCAGAUAGUGAUACAUAACCUUUUAUUUUAAAGCCUUCAUUGAUAUCAUAGCUUAUGUUUUUAGGAAGUUUUUUUUUAGCUGAUUCUGUCAUGUUAGAAUUUUCCUCUUACAAGUAAUGAAUGUAAAGGGGUUUUUUAGACUUCAGUACUACUGUUACAGCCCCUAUCUGACAGGAGAUUUGUUCUGAUGAGUUUGGUUCUCAUAAUUUGUCUAUUAAUUGAAAAAACCAGUUAAAAUAGAACUUAAAAGAAGUUCCCGUCCUGACUCAAUGGUAACGAACCCUGACUAGUAUCCAUAAGGACGUGGAUUCGAUACCUGGCCUUUCCUAGUAGGUUAAGGAUCCGGGGUUGCCAUGAGCUGUGGUGUAGGUCACAGAUUCGGCUUGGAUUUGGCAUUGUGCUGGCUGGCUGUGGCUAGGCCAGCAGCUACAGCUCCAAUUCGACCCCUAGUCUGGGAACUUCCAUACACACAUGUGGCCCUAAAAAGACAAAAACAGGUCAUAAAAGAUAAUGUAUUCAUCCCAUUAACUUUUUAACUCAAAACACAUAGCCUAUCUUUUGGUUAGGACCAAGGCCUUUCCCUACAGUAUGGGUUUGCUGACUGGAACAAAAAGUCUCUCUUAAAUCUACAUUCAUUCAUUUAUUUAUGUAUGUAUUUAUUUAUUUACUUAUUUGUUUGUUUGCCUUUUAGGGCUGCACCUGCAGCAUAUGGAAGUUCCCAGGGUAAGGGUCAAGUCAGAGCUACAGCUGCCCAGCUUACGCCUCAGCCACAGCAGUGCUGGGAUCCGAGCCGCAUCUGUGACCUACACCACAGUUUAUGGCAGUGCUGGAUCCUCAACUCAUUGAGCGAGGCCAAGGAUCGAACCCACAUCUUCAAGGAUACCCUACACCAUAGUCGAGUUUGUUACCACUGAGCCACAGCAGGAACUCUUUACAUUUACAACAAAUCAUUUCCAGUUUACAGUUUGCUUCUCUAAUGCAGAUUAAAACUUUAGAGAAUAGAGAGGAAGUGUUUUUCAGCAGCAUCAGCAUUUCAUGGGAAUUUCUUAGCAUGCAAGUUCUUUGAUGUUAUCCUAUCCCUACUGAAUCAGAAACUAAGGAGGUGGACUUUGCAAUUUUUUCACAUGGCCUCCAUGUUAGUUUAAGAACCACUAUUCUAUAUUUUAUGGUUACUCCCAGUUUUUGUAUUUCUUUUUCCUUUGCCUAUUUCAACAGCAGUAUUUUACAGUGACUUGCCUUUAUCAAGUCUUUCAAAGAUUUUGAUUUAGUUUCUAAAGAUCCAUGAGCUUUCAUUUUUGCUUUGUUUAUCUAAUAUUAAAUUAGCUAGGUAUGGUGACUAAUAAAACUCCCCUAAUUGGCAAAUACUACUGAUUUUGGGAGAACAUACGUUUAGCAUUUUGGAGCUGAACUGUGAAGGGCACACUAGAGAGUAAUCUAUGUGCUGGGAUUUUUUAGCAUGCCAUGGGCAUCUAUCUAUAGGGUUGAAGAGGAAAUGGAGAAUGUGGGCUCGUAUAGCAAAUUGAGUAAAUUAAAUUUGGUCAAGAGAGUUUCUCAUAUGUAUUUUUCUAUUUAAGCAUAUAGAUUUCUGUGAUUAUGUACCUUUAUAGCCCUUAAUUCAAUACUUAUGUUUAAACUUCUCUCCUUUGAUCUGUAAGUAGUCUUCUUGGUUAGAAUUUGGAGUUUGAAAUUUGUUUUAAGAACUCCUAGAUCUCUUAGCUUGAUGUGGAGAAAGCAGAGAACCCAUCUAGUGGUUCACAUGGAAGACGUGUGCCUAUUCUUGUUGACACUAAACAGGAAAUUGCAUAGUAGCUGAUACUUGAAGUAGAAAACAGAUGGAAAUGUUGUUUCCUAACCUAACUGUAGCUUUUGCUCCAACUUAUAGUGGCUACUUUAAUUUGGGAGAAAGCACUCAUUAUGUGGUGAUAAUUCAAUUCAACACAUCAGGAUGGUCAUUCCUGCCAAACUACAGGUGAAAUAUUUGUUCACCAUUGAGAUACAAAGGGGUUACAUAAGUCAGUCAGGAAUCUGGCUUGUUGAGCUGAAAAUAGUGCCCUUUGGCAACAUUCUGGAUGGAGUUUCUAUUGAGCUGCUUUUCUAAAAGGUAUGUUUUAAUUAUUUGUAUAUUUUUAACCACAUUGUCAGUCUCACAAAAGGAAAGAGCCUAAAUAGCUGGUCUAGAUCAACUCUGGAUCAUCUUGUUACUGAAAUAGUUGGGUCAUAGAACUGCUAUGAAACAUGAUUAGAAACCUACCUGAUACAAAGUAAAUAACUAUUAUAUAAAAAACAUCAGGGAGUUCCUGUUGUGUUGCAGUGGAUAUGAAUCCAACUAGUAUCCAUGAGGAUGUGGGUUUGAUCCCUGGCCUCGCUCAGUGGGUUGAGGAUGGGCGUUGCUAUGAGUUGUGGUGUAGGUCGCAAAUGUUGCUCAGAUCUGGUGUUGCUGUGACUAUGGCAUGGGCUCCGAUUUGACCCUAUUCUGUGAACUUCCACCUGCGGCGAGUGUGGCCCUAAAAAGCAAAAAUAAAUAAAUGAAUAAAUUGUAAAAAUCAGGAUAUUGCAACAGUUGUCCUAUAGAACAGUAGUACCGGUCUCACGGAAGUUGUGCAGGUGUAUAUUUGAUAUUUGGUUAGUAUUCAUUCUUGAGUGACACAGUGACCAGAUCAUUCCACUAAGAAAGUCAUAACUGCUAUAAGUCUUAUUAUAAAAAUAAGUAAAAUGCUUAAGGUAGACUGAAGUUUUGUUAGAGGUAGGGUCUAAAUCCAUAUCCAUAUUUGAUAUGCAUAGCAUAAAUUGUGAGUUUGUACUUAAAUUCCACUUUGUUGUCUGGGGAGGUUUAUAAAAGUAAUGAAACUUUAGUUUCAUGCCAAACUAAAGAGAACAAAAAUUAACAGUAAUUAUUUAAUAAGUUUUGAAUGGUAACUGUGGACUAGCGAUAUAUAAGUGUUACGUCAUUUUUUUCAUUAUAAAUAUUCCUCUAGAACGUUAUUAUCUAGGUUUUAUAGAUGUGAAAAUGGAUUAAGGAAACUGGUGACUUGUCCAAGGUCAUUUAACUAGUGGGUAGUGGAGCUAGGAUUUGAACUGUGGUCUGUUUAACACCAAAGUCCAAGCUUUCGAAUACUGCUUUGCACCUUAAUAUUCGGUGCUGUAAUAUUCCUGGCCUGCUUUCAAAAACUUCUCUCUUCCUGUCAAUUUCAGAGAUAACAUUCAAUAACUUGACAACAGUGACCUUUCUAAACAAAUAUAGAAUGUUACAGAACCAGAUGGCCCAAGAUUAUAUUUUAUUUUUCUGGCUCAAAAUAAAUUGCCUGCUGUAGGACUGAUAAAGUCCAAAAAAGACCCUCUGUGUCCCAGGACUUCAUCAGGCCACAUGGCCAGCCAGUGCCCUUUAUCAUGAGCCAGUCAUGAGUAGAGAGCCUUAUGUCUUUAUACUAUAAUUUAAAUUACAGCCUAAUGAAAGGGCAAGAAGCUGCUUUACUGAGUGAGAUCAUUCUGGCCUUCAAUAAUGGCAGUGCAUUUGGGGUAGAACAAUUCUGAGGAACUAAAGGCAGUACUACUGUCUGUCUGUUAAAUGGGUGUAAGCAAGAAGAAUGUUGAGUUAUAAUUUAACAAACUCCCAAAUUAGCCAUCUUUUUUUGUGGGGAUUCAAGUAGGAUUUUUCUAGUAUUAGAAACCUUUUGCUUUAUUGUUCAAAAUCUGGGUGGAAAUCUUUUUGACGGCCAUAGACACAUAUCUUUAGAAAAUAAAUUCUGUAUUGGAAACAUACAUUAUUAUCUCCCACACAAGCAUAAACAUAAUGCCUUCAUGAGCACAAUUAGAUUUAGCAGAUUUUGGUUUAGAGAGAUAAGGUUGCAAAGGAUAAGCAUAGAAAUGUUUCAAAGACAUAUUGAAGGCAACUUGUAAUUGAUGGUAAAAAUUAAUAGUGACAAAAAGAAACACUGGACUUAGAGUCAGGAGUCCUAUGUUUGAAACUUUUUCAAUACUCUGAAGGAUCCUUAAGCAAGUGGUUUAAAUUCUCUGAGUCUCAGUUUUCUCAUUUGUAAAGUGAGGCCAAAAUAAUAAAUAUUACCUGCCUUGUUUAAUUACAGGGUUGUUCUGAGGACCAAAUGAGGGGGCAUUGACAAAAUUAUGGUGAUGUACAAAUGAAUGCUGUUAUUAUGGUAGCAUCUAGUACACAGGGAAAGUGUCCUGAGUCGUAAGGCAUACCUGCUUUUGGAAUUGCUGUGUUAUUUAGCAUUUUGAUGAUUUAGGCCAAGUCACCGCAAUCUUGAGCUUUAUUUCUCUCACCUAAAUAAGAUAAUAAUCUCUCCCAGAGUUGUGAGAAUUAUGUUAGCUGUAGAUGCUAUUUUUAAAUUUUUAUAAAAUAGUGAUCAUCUGGGAAUUAUAAUGUCAUCUUGAACAGAUUUUGGAAAGUUGGGAAAGAAAUAACCAGAGGCUUCUAAUCUGUUCCCAAAUAUCUUAGCAAGAUAAAUAAUCCAAAGAAUACUAGAAUGUUAGUGCUAGAAGGACCCUUGAAGGUCACCUGUCUUAUCCUCCUCAUUUUAAGACAGAGGAUUGCCUCCUAAUCAUAAUUUUGUCAUUUCUGCCAUGUAUUAUGUGCAUAUAACACUGUCACCAGCAUCAUCAAUAGUAAAGGAUGGCAAUUGUUACUCAAUCUUGAUAGAUACAGAUUUUUAAAAGUGCAGAGUCAGAGAAGAAUUCUGCUUGGAGAUAGUAUCGUGUUGUGAAAAGAACCUGGGUUUUGUUGUUGGAAGUUAAGAUGGUAUCUUGAUCCUUUCAGUUACUAGUUUGGAGACAGUGGGACAUUCACUUAGUGUUUGGUGUAGUGUAGCUCCUUAACUAUCCUAUUUCUUUAGCUGUCACGUAGGUAUAGACAUAUUAUACCUUAGCCAUUUCCACAUGUGAUUUUCUGGAUUUGAAAUGAAUUUACUUUUUAUGCUAUUUAUAUUAAUGAUUCUUUUUUGUUGUUUUGUUUUUAACUCAGUGAAUUUUAUUACUUUUACAGUAUAUUAAUGGUUCUUGACCUUUUCUCCCUUGUCUCAUGCAAAUACAAUAGAUUCUUUCUAUUGUGUUGGAAAGGUGGAGUUGGAACAAAGCAGAAUCUUGGAACUGUGGGUUAGGUGUAGUUAGAAAAGACUUCUCUUUAAGGCUGGUUUAGGGACUUAAACAUAGAGCUAUUCUGUUAAGCCAUUUUUUUGUCAGCUUUUUUCCUUACAUGAUUGCAUUUAAAUUUAUAUGUGUUGGUUUUGCUUAUAUUAGAGUUUACAUGUAUUUGGAAAAUUCAUUAGAAAGUUAAUGGGCAGUGUUUUAAUAUGAAAUUUUAAAAUACUAUUAAGUGUUUUCCUUUGAGAAGAGCUCUUCAAAAGAAAGUGCAAGAAAAUAAUGUUUUAUCACUGAAGAACAAGUACAGAGAAUGUUUAUGUUUAUAAUCAAGAAUAGUGACCUUAGUAUACUUUUUAGAGCACACCAUUAAGAGAUUCCAUAGUUUAUAUUUUCAUGAUAGUAAGUUUGGUAUUUUUUUAUUAAGAAUAUUUUCAUUCUUACUUGAUAUCCUGGAGAUACAAAGUUUAUACUUAGGGAGUUACCAUUGUGGCACAGCGAAAUAAAUCCAACUAGUACCCAUGAGGGUUCGAUCCCUGGCCUCAUCAGUGGGUCAUGUAUCUGGCAUUGCCAUGAGUUGUAGCAUAGGUCGCAGAUGUGGCUUGGAUCCUGCGUUGUUGAGUGUGGUGUGGCCAAGUUGCUGUAGCUCUGAUUUGACCCCUAGCCUGGGAACUUCCAUAUGCCACGGGUGUGGCCCUAAAAACCAAAAAAAAAAAAAAAAAAGAAAAAAAA
rnacentral:lncRNA from 1 species